rnacentral:rRNA from 1 species
UACGUAGGCAGCAAGCGUUGUUCGGAGUUACUGGGCGUAAAGAGUGCGUAGGCGGUCCUGUAAGUUUGGUGUGAAAUCUCCCGGCUCAACUGGGAGGGUGCGCCGAAGACUGCAGGGCUUGAGUAUGGGAGAGGUAAGCGGAAUUCCUGGUGUAGCGGUGAAAUGCGUAGAUAUCAGGAGGAACACCGGUGGCGAAGGCGGCUUUCUGGACGACAACUGACGCUGAGACGCGAAAGCGUGGGGAGCAAACAGG